AUUGAACGCUGGCGGCAGGCCUAACACAUGCAAGUCGAGCGGAGCGGCGGACGGACGAGUAAUGCCUAGGAAUCUGCCUGGUAGUGGGGGAGAACGUCCGGAAACGGGCGCUAAUACCGCCUGCUCUCAGUUGAGUCUAGGUUGGAUUAGCUAGUUGGUGGGGUAAAGGCCUACCAAGGCGACCAUCCCUACCUGGUCUGAGAGGAUGAUCAGUCACACUGGAACUGAGACACGGCCCAGACUCCUACGGGAGGCAGCAGUGGGGAAUAUUGGACAAUGGGCGAAAGCCUGAUGCAGCCAUGCCGCGUGUGUGAAGAAGGUCUUCGGAUUGUAAAGCACUUUAAGUUGGGAGGCGUUACCAACAGAAUAAGCACCGGCUAACUUCGUGCCAGCAGCCGCGGUAAUUC
rnacentral:rRNA from 1 species